GGGUUGUGAGGUUAAGCGACUAAGCGUACACGGUGGAUGCCCUGGCAGUCAGAGGCGAUGAAGGACGUGCUAAUCUGCGAAAAGCGUCGGUAAGGUGAUAUGAACCGUUAUAGCCGGCGAUGUCCGAAUGGGGAAACCCAGUGUGAUUCGUCACACUAUCGUUAACUGAAUACAUAGGUUAACGAGGCGAACCGGGGGAACUGAAACAUCUAAGUACCCCGAGGAAAAGAAAUCAACCGAGAUUCCCCCAGUAGCGGCGAGCGAACGGGGAGCAGCCCAGAGUCUGAAUCAGCUUGUGUGUUAGUGGAACGGUCUGGAAAGUCCGACGGUACAGGGUGAUAGUCCCGUACACCAAAAUGCACAGGUUGUGAACUCGAAGAGUAGGGCGGGACACGUGGUAUCCUGUCUGAAUAUGGGGGGACCAUCCUCCAAGGCUAAAUACUCCUGACUGACCGAUAGUGAACCAGUACCGUGAGGGAAAGGCGAAAAGAACCCCGGCGAGGGGAGUGAAAAAGAACCUGAAACCGUGUACGUACAAGCAGUGGGAGCACCUUCGGGUGUGACUGCGUACCUUUUGUAUAAUGGGUCAGCGACUUAUAUUCUGUAGCAAGGUUAACCGUAUAGGGGAGCCGCAGGGAAACCGAGUCUUAACUGGGCGUUAAGUUGCAGGGUAUAGACCCGAAACCCGGUGAUCUAGCCAUGGGCAGGUUGAAGGUUGGGUAACACUAACUGGAGGACCGAACCGACUAAUGUUGAAAAAUUAGCGGAUGACUUGUGGCUGGGGGUGAAAGGCCAAUCAAACCGGGAGAUAGCUGGUUCUCCCCGAAAGCUAUUUAGGUAGCGCCUCGUGAACUCAUCUUCGGGGGUAGAGCACUGUUUCGGCUAGGGGGUCAUCCCGACUUACCAACCCGAUGCAAACUACGAAUACCGAAGAAUGUUAUCACGGGAGACACACGGCGGGUGCUAACGUCCGUCGUGAAGAGGGAAACAACCCAGACCGCCAGCUAAGGUCCCAAAGUCAUGGUUAAGUGGGAAACGAUGUGGGAAGGCACAGACAGCCAGGAUGUUGGCUUAGAAGCAGCCAUCAUUUAAAGAAAGCGUAAUAGCUCACUGGUCGAGUCGGCCUGCGCGGAAGAUGUAACGGGGCUAAACCAUGCACCGAAGCUGCGGCAGCGACACUAUGUGUUGUUGGGUAGGGGAGCGUUCUGUAAGCCUGCGAAGGUGACCUGUGAGGGUUGCUGGAGGUAUCAGAAGUGCGAAUGCUGACAUAAGUAACGAUAAAGCGGGUGAAAAGCCCGCUCGCCGGAAGACCAAGGGUUCCUGUCCAACGUUAAUCGGGGCAGGGUGAGUCGACCCCUAAGGCGAGGCCGAAAGGCGUAGUCGAUGGGAAACAGGUUAAUAUUCCUGUACUUGGUGUUACUGCGAAGGGGGGACGGAGAAGGCUAUGUUAGCCGGGCGACGGUUGUCCCGGUUUAAGCAUGUAGGCUGAUUGUCCAGGCAAAUCCGGAUAAUCAAGGCUGAGGUGUGAUGACGAGGCACUACGGUGCUGAAGUAACAAAUGCCCUGCUUCCAGGAAAAGCCUCUAAGCAUCAGGUAACAUUAAAUCGUACCCCAAACCGACACAGGUGGUCAGGUAGAGAAUACCAAGGCGCUUGAGAGAACUCGGGUGAAGGAACUAGGCAAAAUGGUGCCGUAACUUCGGGAGAAGGCACGCUGGUGUGUAGGUGAAGCCCCUGCGGGUGGAGCUGAGACCAGUCGAAGAUACCAGCUGGCUGCAACUGUUUAUUAAAAACACAGCACUGUGCAAACACGAAAGUGGACGUAUACGGUGUGACGCCUGCCCGGUGCCGGAAGGUUAAUUGAUGGGGUUAUCCGUAAGGAGAAGCUCUUGAUCGAAGCCCCGGUAAACGGCGGCCGUAACUAUAACGGUCCUAAGGUAGCGAAAUUCCUUGUCGGGUAAGUUCCGACCUGCACGAAUGGCGUAAUGAUGGCCAGGCUGUCUCCACCCGAGACUCAGUGAAAUUGAACUCGCUGUGAAGAUGCAGUGUACCCGCGGCAAGACGGAAAGACCCCGUGAACCUUUACUAUAGCUUGACACUGAACAUUGAGCCUUGAUGUGUAGGAUAGGUGGGAGGCUUUGAAGCGUGGACGCCAGUCUGCGUGGAGCCAACCUUGAAAUACCACCCUUUAAUGUUUGAUGUUCUAACGUUGGCCCCUGACCGGGGUUGCGGACAGUGUCUGGUGGGUAGUUUGACUGGGGCGGUCUCCUCCCAAAGCGUAACGGAGGAGCACGAAGGUUAGCUAAUCCUGGUCGGACAUCAGGAGGUUAGUGCAAUGGCAUAAGCUAGCUUGACUGCGAGCGUGACGGCGCGAGCAGGUGCGAAAGCAGGUCAUAGUGAUCCGGUGGUUCUGAAUGGAAGGGCCAUCGCUCAACGGAUAAAAGGUACUCCGGGGAUAACAGGCUGAUACCGCCCAAGAGUUCAUAUCGACGGCGGUGUUUGGCACCUCGAUGUCGGCUCAUCACAUCCUGGGGCUGAAGUAGGUCCCAAGGGUAUGGCUGUUCGCCAUUUAAAGUGGUACGCGAGCUGGGUUUAGAACGUCGUGAGACAGUUCGGUCCCUAUCUGCCGUGGGCGCUGGAGAAUUGAGGGGGGCUGCUCCUAGUACGAGAGGACCGGAGUGGACGCAUCACUGGUGUUCGGGUUGUCAUGCCAAUGGCACUGCCCGGUAGCUAAAUGCGGAAGAGAUAAGUGCUGAAAGCAUCUAAGCACGAAACUUGCCCCGAGAUGAGUUCUCCCUGAGACUUUAAGUCUCCUGAAGGAACGUUGAAGACGACGACGUUGAUAGGCCGGGUGUGUAAGCGCAGCGAUGCGUUGAGCUAACCGGUACUAAUGAACCGUGAGGCUUAACCUUACAACGCCGAAG
rnacentral:rRNA from 1 species